GUUUCGGUGGCGAAAUGGCAUCGCGUGCGGUUGCAGUUUUUUCCGGCCUUUUCAUAGGUUCCGUUUGCAACAGAAAUCUUCGUUUGUGGAGAGCCCGUAAGAAUGGGGGUUCGAUUCCCUCCCGGAACU